GACGAACCGAGCGAACGUUGUUCGGAAUCACUGGGCUUAAAGGGCGCGUAGGCGGGUUUGAAAGUCUGCGGUGAAAUCCUCCAGCUUAACUGGAGAAGUGCCGUGGAUACUGCAAGUCUCGAGGAGGGUAGGGGCAUCUGGAACAGUAGGUGGAGCGGUGAAAUGCGUUGAUAUCUACUGGAACUCCGGUGGCGAAGGCGAGGUGCUGGACCCUUUCUGACGCUGAGGCGCGAAAGCCAGGGGAGCGAACGGG
rnacentral:rRNA from 1 species